AACUAUCACUUCACUGUAUUCUUGAUUUUCCAAUCAUGUCUUCUUCAGAGCAUCUAUAACCACCGGUGAAUCUAACGGCCCCGUCACCGGCUUUCCGUCGAUCAUUAUGGGUCCACCAUUGGUGACGCUUAUGUUUGGCGGCGUCAUCUUAGUUCCCGUCUGCAUGCAGAACCGGUCCGCCAUGUAAGAAUGCUUUAUGCAAAUAAAACAUUUAGGCCUUCUAGUUCUUUUGUAUAAUCACAAAUAAUAAUAAU
rnacentral:sRNA from 1 species